UCUAAUUAGAUGAUCCAGCAACAUGAACAAAGCUGGACUUUCAGUCUUUGCCAUUGUUCAAAUAAUUAUUAAUUCAAUUAAAAUGAAAUUAUCAUCUUAAAAGUCUUCAUAACAAGAAAAAAAUUUCCGUAACUAUGUAUGGUGAUGGAUGUUAAUUACACCUAUGAAGUGAUUAUUUUGCAAUAUAUACAAAUAUCAAAUUGUAACAAAACCCAAAUUCGUCUGCUUGAUGUGCAGGAAAGACAACAACUGAGGUAUGGAGUAUGCAGGGAGGAAAGGGUUUAUUCAAGAGGCAGCAUUGGUGGUCCCAUUAACUCUUUGGUUACCAGUUUGAAAAUCAUUAUGUUGUACAUCUGAAACUAAUAUAAUGUUAUAUGUCAACUAUACCUCAAAAAAUGAAGGCAUAUAAAAAGAAAAACCUGGACCUCAGUACCCUCUGACACCAGGUCUGGGAAACUGCUGGAGACACUCUGGAUGUUGGAAGGAGAAAAGCUGAUAAAGUUCAAAAUUGACUAGACUGUGUCAUAGUGGUCAUGGAAUAUCUGUCUAGCUAAAGAGAUGUCAGAAGAAAAGAUUGAAAAUAACCAGAUCUUUCAUAGGAAGCUUCCCUCCUUCCUCAGUGCUGACAAUGGAUGUCAAAGCAGAUUGACCUGCACUCAGAUUCCUGUUUAUUAAGAAGUCAAUAUUCACAUUCAUGGAUAAGAGUAUGGAUACUAAGCACUUAAAGAAGAGUUUCAACGCUUUGACAAAUAUCUCUGAGCAUGUUGGGCUUGGCUAAUGGAAACUACCAACAGAAGAUUAGCAAUCUGGAGCAAAGGAAGAACCCACUACUUGCCCACGACAGAUAGGACAGGUGGAGUUCUCUGACAGCCAGUGAUCGAUACAGUGGACAUGGAAUUCAUGGGAGCAAGGAAUCUGGAGGAAGUUUGUUUUCAAUAUUUCAUCAUAUUCAUGGCCUUGUGUACCACUGUGGGAGGAAAGUCAAGAGACAACAUUUUUUUCACUCCACUGUCAAAACACUAAUACAAUUAAAUAAGGUUAAGGUACAGUGCUAGUAUUUUAUUUUAUUUUUUUUUCAGUGCUAGUAUUUUAGUUCAAUUUACACUACUGCCUAAUUCUCAUUAGUCUACAACAGUACUUCUAGGCUCUUAAAUUAUUAUGGUAAUAUACAAAGUUGUUUAAAAAUAUAACACUAUUGUAGUCAUUGCCCAAAUUUAAAUAAUAUGUAUAGGUUUAAAAUUUAUUUGAAUACUUCUUAAUGUUACCAAGAUUUUGAGGUGACAUGAAACUGAAGGUGAGAUCAGAUGAAUAGACUGAACCUGGCAUAGUAUAUAUGAGGCCAUGCUUAAGAACCAAACUAUUAUGUAUCAUCUUCAUUUGAUAGUAAAAUUUUCUACUUCACACUAGGAGAGAAGCAGCAGACCUGAUUAGAUCAGGGUUUCUCAACCUUAGCACCAUUGACAUUUUGGUGUUGGAUAAUUCUUAGUUUUGGGGAGCUAUCCUAUAUUGUGAAGUGUUUGGUAGUAUCCUUGGCCUCUGCCCGCUAUUUGCCAGUAACACCCACCCAUCAUUUUUGACAACCAAAAAUAUCUCCAGAUAUUGUCAAAUGUCCCUUGAGGGGUGGGAGCAAAAUUACCCCCAGUUGAAUAGAAUAUAUUUGUUCACUGGUGAAGAAGUCUAUGUCUUUAUAGAAAAAAUAGCUCAGGAAGUAGGAGGAACUUUUAGUUGAGGUGGAAAACCAAGAAAAAUAUCAAUAGCCUAUUUCACACUUGUUUCUCAAUUAAAGUGACUCAAAUGUGAAUUGGGGGAAAAACAUAUUUUUCCAUUCUCACCAAAAAUCAAGUAAAUGCCAGUUCUUUUUAAUGAGAAGUUACUUGCUACCAAAUUAAAGUAUUUGAUACUUUACUUGCUACCAAAUAAAGUAUUAUGAAGUUCCUUACCCAUCCCAUUCUAUUCUCCCUAAAAAUGAAAUAUACCUCUAUUUUCAUCUGAAUUUUGUGCUACGUUGUCUUUAAUUCGUUGAAGUCUCCUCAGCAACUCUUCUAAUGUAGUUUCACCUGGGAUGCCUAGCAAAUUGUUAUCCCUCAUAAGCUUGUAAUC